UAUCAUCUGAUGAUAAUGAAAAGAAACCUGUCCAAACAAGCAAAAUGAGCACUCUUCUCAGACAGAAGAGAUUGCGCAAGCCUACCAAGAGGUACAUUGAAGAAUUUUCAGUUCCGAAGUCGAAACAUGCAAUGGAAAGACAAAAAAUUUUGGCUGUUGAUUCAAAGGAUAAAUGCCUGACUAUCAGGUCCCAUAAUGAACUUCAUCAUGGGGGAGCACUGACAUUGAUCAAGGAGGAGUCUUUGAGUGAGACAAUUACUCAAGAAACACUUGAUGAUGAUGAAAAACUUUCAGAUCUGAAGUCAAAGUGUAUCAGCGGGAGACAAAAAAUUUCUUCUCCUGCUUUAAAGCAUAAAUGCUUGAAGAUUGGAUCUCGUAAUGAACUUCAUCACCUGAGAGGGUUCAAAUCUGUUCCCAGGGAGGAGUCUUUCACGGGCAUUAGUACUCAGGCAUCAUUUGAAUCUCGGCCACGGAGGGGACGUCCUAAGAAACGCCC
rnacentral:misc_RNA from 1 species